CCAUUGGAGCGGCCCGCGUCUGAUUAGCUAGUUGGUGAGGUAAAGGCUCACCAAGGCGACGAUCAGUAGCUGGUCUGAGAGGAUGAUCAGCCACAUUGGGACUGAGACACGGCCCAAACUCCUACGGGAGGCAGCAGUGGGGAAUCUUGCGCAAUGGGCGAAAGCCUGACGCAGCCAUGCCGCGUGAAUGAUGAAGGUCUUAGGAUUGUAAAAUUCUUUCAGCAGGGACGAUAAUGACGGUACCUGCAGAAGAAGCCCCGGCUAACUUCGUGCCAGCAGCCGCGGUAAUACGAAGGGGGCUAGCGUUGCUCGGAAUUACUGGGCGUAAAGGGCGCGUAGGCGGGUCGUUUAGUUAGAGGUGAAAGCCCAGGGCUCAACCCUGGAAUUGCCUUUAAUACUGGCGGCCUUGAGUAUGGCAGAGGUGUGUGGAACUCCGAGUGUAGAGGUGAAAUUCGUAGAUAUUCGGAAGAACACCAGUGG
rnacentral:rRNA from 1 species